rnacentral:rRNA from 1 species
UACGGAGGUGGCAAGCGUUGCUCGGAAUCACUGGGCAUAAAGGGCGUCUAGGCGGAUUGGUAAGUCGGUUGUGAAAUCCCUCGGCUCAACCGAGGAACUGCAGCCGAUACUGCCGGUCUUGAGGACGAGAGGGGAGAGUGGAACUCCUGGUGGAGCGGUGAAAUGCGUAGAUAUCAGGAGGAACGCCGGCGGCGAAAGCGACUCUCUGGCUCGUUCCUGACGCUGAAGCGCGAAAGCCAGGGGAGCGAACGGGAUUAGAUACCCCCGUA